rnacentral:misc_RNA from 1 species
GAAAUGCGAUAAGUAAUGUGAAUUGCAAAAUUCCGUGAAUCAUUAAAUCUUUGAACGCACCUUGCGCUCUUUGGCAAUCCAGAGAGCAUGUCUGUUUGAGAAUCAGUUUAAAUCUCACUCCUUUAGUUGGAAACAGUUAAAGAAGUGGUUGUGGGUUUUUCACCAACACUGAAAUUCCUUAAAUUCAAGUUGCCUGGUGUACAUUUGAAACGUAACCGGAAAGCAUGACCAAAGGACGUUAGUUCUUGAUUGCUGAUAAAGGCCGUGUAGACUGUGCUCGAGGUAAGAAUUAAAAACACGAAAGUAGCAAUACUUUUAAGACUUGAUCUCAAAUCAGAUAAGACUACCCGCUGAACUUAA